UACGUAGGGUGCAAGCGUUAAUCGGAAUUACUGGGAGUAAAGCGUGCGCAGGCGGCUUUGCAAGACAGAUGUGAAAUCCCCGGGCUUAACCUGGGAACUGCAUUUGUGACUGCAUGGCUGGAGUGCGGCAGAGGGGGAUGGAAUUCCGCGUGUAGCAGUGAAAUGCGUAGAUAUGCGGAGGAACACCGAUGGCGAAGGCAAUCCCCUGGGCCUGCACUGACGCUCAUGCACGAAAGCGUGGGGAGCAAACAGG
rnacentral:rRNA from 1 species